UGGCGGCAUGCCUAAUACAUGCAAGUUGAACGGGAAGUAGCAAUACUUCUAGUAGCGAACGGGUGAGUAAUACAUGAGUAACCUGCCCCUUUGAUGGGGAUAACUGAUCGAAAGAUUAGCUAAUACCGAAUAAUCUAAUUGGAAUGCAUAUUUUAAUGAGGAAAGUUGAGAAAACGCGAAGAGAUGGGCUCAUGGCGCAUUAGCUAGUUGGUGGGGUAACGGCCCACCAAGGCAACGAUGCGUAGCCGACCUGAGAGGGUGAACGGCCACACUGGAACUGAGACACGGUCCAGACUCCUACGGGAGGCAGCAGUAGGGAAUUUUCGGCAAUGGGCGGAAGCCUGACCGAGCAAUGCCGCGUGAAUGAUGAAGGUCUUCGGAUUGUAAAGUUCUUUUGCAAAGGAAGAAAAAGCUGUGAAGAGCAGCAUAUUGACGGUACUUUGAGAAUAAGCCACGGCUAACUACGUGCCAGCAGCCGCGGUAAUACGUAGGUGGCGAGCGUUAUCCGGAAUUAUUGGGCGUAAAGCGUGAGUAGGCGGUUUAAUAAGUCUAAAAUGAAAGGCAGUGGCUUAACCAUUGUAUGUUUUAGAAACUGUUAGACUAGAGUGCGGGAGAGGUUAAUGGAAUUCCAUGUGUAGCGGUGAAAUGCGUAGAUAUAUGGAGGAACACCAGUGGCGAAGGCGGUUAACUGGCCCGAAACUGACGCUGAGUCACGAAAGCGUGGGGAGCAAAUAGGAUUAGAUACCCUAGUAGUCCACGCCGUAAACGAUGAGUACUAAGUGUUGGAGAAAUUCAGUGCUGAAGUAAACAUAUUAAGUACUCCGCCUGAGUAGUACGUUCGCAAGAAUGAAACUUAAAGGAAUUGACGGGACCCCGCACAAGCGGUGGAGCAUGUGGUUUAAUUCGACGCAACGCGAAAAACCUUACCAGGUCUUGACAUGGCGUUAAAGGCUCUAGAGAUAGAGAGAUAGUUAUAAUGCACACAGGUGGUGCAUGGUUGUCGUCAGCUCGUGUCGUGAGAUGUUGGGUUAAGUCCCGCAACGAGCGCAACCCCUGCCGAUAGUUACUACGCGAAGAGGACUCUAUCGGGACCGCUACCGACAAGGUGGAGGAAGGUGGGGACGACGUCAAAUCAUCAUGCCCCUUAUGACCUGGGCUACACACGUACUACAAUGGUCGUUAACAGAGGGAAGCAAAGCCGCGAGGUGGAGCAAAUCCCUAAAAACGAUCUCAGUUCAGAUUGCAGGCUGCAACUCGCCUGUAUGAAGAUGGAAUUGCUAGUAAUCGCGGAUCAGCAUGCCGCGGUGAAUACGUUCCCGGGCCU
rnacentral:rRNA from 1 species